GGGGAUAGAAAAAGGUGGCUGGAACUGACUUUUAAUCAGGUGGUCGCUGGUUCGAGUCCAGCAGGGCGCACCA
rnacentral:tRNA from 1 species